rnacentral:rRNA from 1 species
GUGGGGAAUAUUGGACAAUGGGCGAAAGCCUGAUCCAGCCAUGCCGCGUGUGUGAAGAAGGUCUUCGGAUUGUAAAGCACUUUAAGUUGGGAGGAAGGGCAGUAAGUUAAUACCUUGCUGUUUUGACGUUACCGACAGAAUAAGCACCGGCUAACUUCGUGCCAGCAGCCGCGGUAAUACGAAGGGUGCAAGCGUUAAUCGGAAUUACUGGGCGUAAAGCGCGCGUAGGUGGUUUUGUAAGUUGGAGUUUAAAUCCCCGGGCUCAACCUGGGAACUGCAUCCAAAACUGCAUGACUAGAGUACGGUAGAGGGUAGUGGAAUUUACUGUGUAGCGGUGAAAUGCGUAGAUAUAGGAAGGAACACCAGUGGCGAAGGCGACUACCUGGACUGAUACUGACACUGAGGUGCGAAAGCGUGGGGAGCAAACAGGAUUAGAUACCCCUGUAGUCC